ACCCUAGUGUUGGGUAAAGACGUCGCGCUGCAGAGAGGGAAGGCUAGCGACAUGAAUCAAGCAGCAAGUACACGAAGUCGCCGAGCAAAGCUUAAAACAACAGCCGUGUGUGAUUCUGAUAUUUAUGAUUUGUCUGUGAGGAAGAGGAGCACUGCAGAAAAAAGCAAAGAACAGACAAACAACAGAAGUGAAUGUCAACCCUAUGAACAGCCAACUACCUGUAAGGGGGGAAAAGCUACAGAGAGAGAUUUGUCUGUGAGGGAGAGGACCACUGCUGACAAAGCAUUUCAGUGCCUUGAUCAUGACCAACCAACUACCCUUCAGGAGGCAAAAGCUUCAGAAAAAGAAGCACCUACCCUUCAAGCAGCACUACAGACAAUUGUAUCCCAAAAGGGAGAGAUCGCCACCUUAAAGGAGAAGAUGGACCUGCUUGUUUAAGACCGUGACUUCCUCCGUGAAAGCCUUAAAGAAGCUCUGGCAGUCAGAAGUGGAAUGCAAGAGAAGAGAGCAGUCAAGUCCCUGGCAACAGGACAGAGGAAUCAAAGUUCUGAAACAGACAACUCCUCUUCUUCUGAGUCUUCAGAGGAUUCUGAGUCUUCUGAAGAUGAAGUGUCAACACAAGGAAGUAAGAAGACAUCUAUGAAGAGAUGCAUGAAGAAGCACAAGUUUAAAAAAACAAAGAAAAUUAAGAAAAUGCGAGUGCAAACACCAGAUGAUUCCAUCAGGCGCUAGUUGGUCCUGGAAAAAGUACAGAUUGAACACAUCAGUAAAGCAGAAGCAUACGCAAGACUUGGAAUCGACAGAAACACCAUUGUAUUGCAGGCCCCGAUUGCUGAACUUGCAGCUACAAAUCCUGAUGUUUUCAAAUCUCUGAAGGCAAGUUUUAAAAGAAAGGACAGCCUUAAAAGGUUUUCAGAAACCUGCAGGAGCUUCUGUGAACAGGAGCCCACUGCCACCGCGAUUCUGAAAAAAAAAGAAGAGGGAUCCCUGCUUGACAUUUAUAAAAUAUAACAAUGCUGUUUCUUUGUUUUUCCUAUGACGGUUAAAAGAGAAAUUCAGUGUUUAAUGGACUUUGGGUGAAGUAAAACAUGAUGAAGAACUCUAACCUUUGUUGAAUAGCCCACCUCCGUUCUCCUUUAUCUUUCCGAGAUCCAGACUAUUUUUCCACUUUUGCCAAACGAGCUUUAGAAUGGGUGGUCUGCCCCUGCAAAUAUAUCGCUUUUUACACCCUUAUCGAGGCUCAAAGUAGCUCCACACCUCACUGGUAGAAUCCAGAGAGCCCUGACGUUUAAACAGAGGCAUUAAGAACUUUAAAAAUAAAAGCCAUUGUUUACAUCCCAUAGUGUAACCUAGUUCUCAGGGCACCGCCAUCUUAAAGUAUAGUCACAGAUAUUUUUAGUCGCGAGACUGAACGAAUAGGUAGUAGAAUACUAUACUAUUCGUUCAGACUAGCGACUCGACUAUCUGUGGCUUUACUUUAAGAUGACGGUGCCCUGAGAACUCGGUUACGCUACGGGAUGUAAACAAUGAUUUUAGUAUAAGGUUUGGUAUAAGGGCUCUCCCUGAAUUCUACCAAUGAGGUGUGGAGCUUCUUUGCAGGGGCAAAUGGAUGCCCUGCGGAAAAUAUUCUGUAUUUUGGAAAGCUGCAGGAGAAUGGAGGUGGGCUAUUCAACAAAGGAUAUUACUCUUUAUCAUGUUUUACUACACCCAAAGUCAAUUUUACACAGUUCUCCUUUAACAGUUGUUCUGUUGUGUUCAGGUUAUGCACUGUGUUGUACACUGUUAAAAACAAUGGUUCUUGAUGGAUUCUUUAUAAAAGAAAAUGGUUCUAUCUAAAAUCUAAAACACUCAAAAUAUUACUUUAAGUGAUUUAAAAUGUUUAUUGCUGUUUGAAAGAGUGUAUUUUGCAUAUCUGCAAUGUUAAUGUUUAAUAUCGUUCUCAGCAGUAUUUUACUCACUCUUACCAACUCAACUUCUGACCCCCUUACUCCUUGUGGGUCAUAGAGGGUGCUGGAUCCUAUCCCAUUGUUGAGAGGGCAGGAAACAUGCUGGACAGACUGCCAAACCAUAACAGGCCCACUGUGUUUUAUUAUUUGUUUAUAUUUGUUUACUUUUUAAUAUUCUUAUUUUUUGUUAAAGCUUUGCUAUGUGAUGUCAGUUCAUCCAAGAACACUGUUCUGAUAAUAAAGAAUGUUUUCUUAA